AAUAAUACUGUUGUGACAGUAAAAUCUGCCCAACACUAGAAGCUCUCAGCCCGCAUCUGUUUGCUCAGCUGCUGGACAGGACAAGUUAAAAAAAUAAAUAUAUAAAUUAAUAUUUUAAGAUGACAACCAUUCAAACCGACUCCUAAAAAUAACUGAAGCCUAAAGAACAAAUAUAUCAGAACCUUUUUUGUUUUUAAUAUGAAAUAUUUCAAAAUGAAAUGAGUUAACUUAAACAUGUUUACCACUCAUUAAAUUGAGAUAGUAUGUAAUUACCUAUAUAAAGAACAAGUUGUCACAUUCUGGUGAACUCUUUCUUCUGUUAGUUUCUCAUUGUCCAGUCUCCAGAUGAACUUCUUUUCCCUCCACAUUAGCUUUGCCUCCCACAAAGUCGGCCCUCUUUCCAUUUUUACCUGCAGUUUCCACAACAGGCCAAAGAGCAGCUCUGACCUCCUUGUCUUCUUUGGACAGAUCUUCACCAAAGUGAAGCUUGUUUUCUCGCAGGUAGGUGUUGUUUUUGGCAUUUCUCCAGAUCUCAUCUCGAACAGAGCGGUAGGCGAACAGAGUGAUGAUUCCUCGGGUCUUCUUGCCGUCUUGUCUUCCCAGCCGGUGUGCAACAUCAAUCCCAUCAGCUCCUCUUGAUAGGAAUGUCUGGGAGAGGCGUCAACUCCAUAUCGCCUUCUUUCAUAUGAGCUCAUGCUCACUUGUUUUAUUCUUCGAUGUAUCAGGGGCUCUCAACUUUCGCUUGUUAUCUUCUUUUUUUCCGUAGCUGCUCAUUUUUUCUGUGAAAAGUUUCAUUGGUAGCAUUAGCCUGCAAAUUAAUUGAUGUCCCCAAGCUAGCACUAUGCUCAAAGCUUAGUUUUUGUAAAUAAUUGGUCUUAAUACAAGUUCUUGUGAUCAAAGUUCAUUUGUUCAGUGUUCCAAUAAUUCCAUAAAUAUUAGUUGGCUACUUUAAAUUGUUAUUAAUUGCUUGGAGAUCCGGUAAAAUGCGUGUGGACUCACCUCCAUCUUGAAUCAGCCCUCGGGCCAAAACUGUUUAUUGCAGGUACAGAAAACAUAAUUUUAACCAUAGAUAUAAUAGAGAGUAGAUGCUGCAUUGGCUGCUGGGGCGCAGGAAAAGAAGCAUGAGCAUUGAGUGGAGUGAACAUUCUCAUUCAAAUCGGUGGACUAUUGAAAGCAGGGCUCGGGGGAUCACUUUUCACAAGUAAGUUUGAACGUUUUUAUCUGUUAUAUUUUUGGAAUAGGCUGUAAUAUCCCUGCACUGUUAUGUUCACCAGCGAACUCUUAGUCAGCUAAUGUCAGCUAUAGGCUAUAUCUAGUGUUGGUGUUCACCUAGCUAUGAAGGGUAACUGAGACUUUUUAAAUCAUAUAUUCCAUAACAAUAACUUAGAUUACAACUGACACAAUAAUGCUACUAAUAUCUCUCAUGGCCAUCCAACCUCAGAGAUUUAAAAAUACAAACAACUGAAGGUCUGGCUGACUCACAAUUUCAGCAGCUUUGCUUCAUUAUCAAAAGAAAUGUGAAAUUUUAUUUUGUUGACAAAAGGUUCUAAUAAAUGUGAAGGAUGAAGUAAAUAGGAACAAUGGAAUAAAAUGGGAAGAUAGAAAAUGGAAAACUAUGAAUAAUAAGAAGAAUGAAGAAAAUAAGAUUGACCUCUUUUAUAAUGUGUUUAAGGAGCAUGCAGGAACCCAGAAGAUAAGAAACUUGCACUGCAAACAUGAAAAGCACACACCAUGAUCACUGUCACAUAUAUAUUUAUAUCAUUUAUUAUGCUUCUCCAUUUUAUCCAGAAAAGGGCAGGGCCACAUCUACCUCCAGAAAAAGAAGAAGCUGAAGAGAGCCUGUCAGUGCCCUCUCAGGAUGAGACUUCAACCUCACCCCCUCAGCAUGAGCCCUAAUGAUAUUACACCCAGUGACGUGCUGAGAGCUGCAGAGAGGGGGAUUCAUCAGGCUUCAACAAAGCAGCUCCAAAGGUGUCAACAGUCACACACACCGACCUGGAGGAGAUUGGAACAGAGGACGUUUUUCUGCUUGGAGACCAAUAGCGGGGACACAGUUUGGCAUCGACAACCAUCAUUCCAACUUGUCAUUGGUUGUUUUUGUGUUUCUGAAGAUAAGGCUGCACAACAUUGAAAACGUACCUCUGUUGACCUGCAGAAAGGAAG